rnacentral:rRNA from 1 species
UACGAAGGGGGCUAGCGUUGUUCGGAAUCACUGGGCGUAAAGCGCACGUAGGCGGAUCUUUAAGUCAGGGGUGAAAUCCCGAGGCUCAACCUCGGAACUGCCUUUGAUACUGGGGAUCUCGAGUCCGGGAGAGGUGAGUGGAACUGCGAGUGUAGAGGUGAAAUUCGUAGAUAUUCGCAAGAACACCAGUGGCGAAGGCGGCUCACUGGCCCGAUACUGACGCUGAGGUGCGAAAGCGUGGGGAGCAAACAGGG